UACGGAGGGUGCAAGCGUUAUCCGGAUUUAUUGGGGUUAAAGGGUCCGUAGGCGGAUCUGUAAGUCCGUGGUGAAAUCUCUGAGCUUAACUCAGAAACUGCCGUGGAUACUAUUUGUCUUGAAUGUUGUGGAGGUGAGCGGAAUAUGUCAUGUAGCGGUGAAAUGCUUAGAUAUGACAUAGAACACCAAUUGCGAAGGCAGCUCACUACACAAUUAUUGACGCUGAGGCACGAAAGCGUGGGGAUCAAACAGG
rnacentral:rRNA from 1 species